UCCGUAGGUGAACCUGCGGAAGGAUCAUUAAUGAUAUUGAUUUUCAAAUGUCAAUCUCAUACACCUUUUGUUAAUUUUUAAACUUGUUCUUUCCACUAAGGCUGUAUAAGUUAACUGGUAAACAGUUAAGUGCCGUUGGGGUUUACGCAGGUUGCGAUGAAUUGUAAAAAGUUUAAGUCGCAGCCAAUGCCACCCUGAUUGGAAGUCGCUAGUGGAUAAAAACAUUUUAAAACUCUUAUAAAACUAUAAAGUCUGAAUAAAAAAUUAUAAUAAUACAAAACUUUCAACAACGGAUCUCUAGGCUCUUGCAUCGAUGAAGAACGCAGUGAAAUGCGAUAAGUAAUGUGAAUUGCAGAAUCUCGUGAAUCAUUGAAUCUUUGAACGCACAUUGCGCCUUAUGGUAUUCCAUAAGGCAUGCCUGUCUGAGCGUCAGCUCCAAACGUCCUGGACUUGUGUCUGGGGAUGACAUUGAAAUUGCGGGGCUUUGUUGCUUCGCCUUCAGAAAUCAAUAGGCGGUACGGUUUCCACCAAAAACCAGACGUAGGUAUUUUCUAUUUCGGUCCUAAAGGUUUGGAAGGGAAUGGAACUGGUGGGCCAGCUUGGUUAACUCACAACCAUUAUCAGGUAAU
rnacentral:rRNA from 1 species